rnacentral:rRNA from 1 species
UACGUAGGGUGCAAGCGUUGUCCGGAAUUUAUUGGGCGUAAAGAGCUUGUAGGCGGUUUGUCGCGUCUGCUGUGAAAUUUCGGGGCUCAACCCCGAACUUGCAGUGGGUACGGGCAGACUAGAGUGUGGUAGGGGAGACUGGAAUUCCUGGUGUAGCGGUGAAAUGCGCAGAUAUCAGGAGGAACACCGAUGGCGAAGGCAGGUCUCUGGGCCAUAACUGACGCUGAGAAGCGAAAGCAUGGGGAGCGAACAGG